rnacentral:rRNA from 1 species
UACGUAGGGUGCAAGCGUUGUCCGGAAUUAUUGGGCGUAAAGAGCUCGUAGGCGGUCUGUCACGUCGGCUGUGAAACCUCGGGGCUCAACCCCGAGCCUGCAGUCGAUACGGGCAGACUAGAGUGCUGUAGGGGAGACUGGAAUUCCUGGUGUAGCGGUGAAAUGCGCAGAUAUCAGGAGGAACACCUGUGGCGAAAGCGGCGCACUGGACCAUUACUGACGCUGAUGCACGAAAGCUAGGGGAGCAAACAGG